GAUGAACGCUGGCGGCGUGCCUAAUACAUGCAAGUCGAGCGAACAGAUAAGGAGCUUGCUCCUUUGACGUUAGCGGCGGACGGGUGAGUAACACGUGGAUAACCUACCUAUAAGACUGGGAUAACUUCGGGAAACCGGAGCUAAUACCGGAUAAGAUUUUGAACCGCAUGGUUCAAUAGUGAAAGACGGCCUUGCUGUCACUUAUAGAUGGAUCCGCGCCGUAUUAGCUAGUUGGUAAGGUAACGGCUUACCAAGGCAACGAUACGUAGCCGACCUGAGAGGGUGAUCGGCCACACUGGAACUGAGACACGGUCCAGACUCCUACGGGAGGCAGCAGUAGGGAAUCUUCAGCAAUGGGCGAAAGCCUGACGGAGCAACGCCGCGUGAUUGAUGAAGGUCUUCGGAUCGUAAAACUCUGUUAUCAGGGAAGAACAAACGUGUAAGUAACUGUGCACGUCUUGACGGUACCUGAUCAGAAAGCCACGGCUAACUACGUG
rnacentral:rRNA from 1 species